rnacentral:snRNA from 1 species
GGAUGUGGGGGCGAUCUGGCUGCGACAUCUGUCACCCCACUGAUCACCAGGGUUGAUUCGGCUGAUCUGGCUGGCUAGGCGGGAGUCCCCUUCCUUGCUCAACGCUCCAGGUACAAACCUCCUGAAGCUGUGCACUUGGUCAAAGGGGAUGACCACCCCGACAGAGAGGGCACUCCUCAGUCAAGGGUAUAGGAGGAACUGUGUCUGUCCCCCGCUAGAACCUCCAAACAAGCGCUCAAAGAUAAUUUAAAAAUUUCAUUUGAGGAAGGGUUGGAGAUAUUAUCAGAGUAAUUUGCUUCUACCCUCCCGAUUGUUAAUGGCAUUUAUUUAGAG